rnacentral:rRNA from 1 species
CUAUGUGUUGUUGGGUAGGGGAGCGUUCUGUAAGCCUGUGAAGGUGUACUGUGAGGUAUGCUGGAGGUAUCAGAAGUGCGAAUGCUGACAUAAGUAACGAUAAAGCGGGUGAAAAGCCCGCUCGCCGGAAGACCAAGGGUUCCUGUCCAACGUUAAUCGGGGCAGGGUGAGUCGACCCCUAAGGCGAGGCCGAAAGGCGUAGUCGAUGGGAAACAGGUUAAUAUUCCUGUACUUGGUGUUACUGCGAAGGGGGGACGGAGAAGGCUAUGUUGGCCGGGCGACGGUUGUCCCGGUUUAAGCGUGUAGGCUGAUUUUCCAGGUAAAUCCGGAAAAUCAAGGCUGAGGCGUGAUGACGAGGCACUACGGUGCUGAAGCAACAAAUGCCCUGCUUCCAGGAAAAGCCUCUAAGCAUCAGGUAACAUCAAAUCGUACCCCAAACCGACACAGGUGGUCAGGUAGAGAAUACCAAGGCGCUUGAGAGAACUCGGGUGAAGGAACUAGGCAAAAUGGUGCCGUAACUUCGGGAGAAGGCACGCUGAUACGUAGGUGAAGUCCCUCGCGGAUGGAGCUGAAAUCAGUCGAAGAUACCAGCUGGCUGCAACUGUUUAUUAAAAACACAGCACUGUGCAAACACGAAAGUGGACGUAUACGGUGUGACGCCUGCCCGGUGCCGGAAGGUUAAUUGAUGGGGUUAGCGGUAACGCGAAGCUCUUGAUCGAAGCCCCGGUAAACGGCGGCCGUAACUAUAACGGUCCUAAGGUAGCGAAAUUCCUUGUCGGGUAAGUUCCGACCUGCACGAAUGGCGUAAUGAUGGCCAGGCUGUCUCCACCCGAGACUCAGUGAAAUUGAACUCGCUGUGAAGAUGCAGUGUACCCGCGGCAAGACGGAAAGACCCCGUGAACCUUUACUAUAGCUUGACACUGAACAUUGAGCCUUGAUGUGUAGGAUAGGUGGGAGGCUUUGAAGUGUGGACGCCAGUCUGCAUGGAGCCGACCUUGAAAUACCACCCUUUAAUGUUUGAUGUUCUAACGUUGGCCCCUAAUCGGGGUUGCGGACAGUGUCUGGUGGGUAGUUUGACUGGGGCGGUCUCCUCCUAAAGAGUAACGGAGGAGCACGAAGGUUGGCUAAUCCUGGUCGGACAUCAGGAGGUUAGUGCAAUGGCAUAAGCCAGCUUGACUGCGAGCGUGACGGCGCGAGCAGGUGCGAAAGCAGGUCAUAGUGAUCCGGUGGUUCUGAAUGGAAGGGCCAUCGCUCAACGGAUAAAAGGUACUCCGGGGAUAACAGGCUGAUACCGCCCAAGAGUUCAUAUCGACGGCGGUGUUUGGCACCUCGAUGUCGGCUCAUCACAUCCUGGGGCUGAAGUAGGUCCCAAGGGUAUGGCUGUUCGCCAUUUAAAGUGGUACGCGAGCUGGGUUUAGAACGUCGUGAGACAGUUCGGUCCCUAUCUGCCGUGGGCGCUGGAGAACUGAGGGGGGCUGCUCCUAGUACGAGAGGACCGGAGUGGACGCAUCACUGGUGUU